AGGGUUGUGUCCCUUUAUUUGAGCUCAAUUGGUUUUGAAAUCCCUUCUGAAGAACAUCAGAGAGGCAAUCUUCUUACAAUUAAGAUUCUCGUAAUCAAGGGAGAACAUUCCAUUCACAAGCAAUUGGAUGAGAGUCGUAUUUGCCCUUGGCAACUGAAGAUGAUGUUACUAUGGAAACGACUUCUGCUGCUAUCAAUCAUUGGUUGCCUUGCCGCUCAUGCACAAGAUGUCCUGUUCCAAGGGCCAAGAUGGAGAACAGAGCCCAGUGACCUCAUUCUCCCCAACAACUCCCCUGACCAGGAAGCCACCAUUACAUGUGAGGCAGAGGGGAAACCCUCCCCACAAUACAGGUAAUGGAUUCCAUCUAUUUACAUUAUAAUUCCACAAGUCAGUGUGGAACUGACAUUUGCAUUCAUUUAACAUGAAGAACAUAACAUCCAAGCCAGACAGUUAACCAGACAGAGAAAAUGAUUCAUAGGGCAUGCUCAUUCCAAAACCCACAGAAACUUUAAAAUAACGAAUGCGUUUAGCUAUGAUUUAGAAGGGA
rnacentral:lncRNA from 1 species